rnacentral:tRNA from 1 species
GCUCCCGUCGGUUAACAGGAUAAACCACGGACCUCCUAAGUCCGGACUGGUGGUUCGAGUCCACCCGGGAGCGCCA